rnacentral:lncRNA from 1 species
GCAUGUCCACAAGGAAAAAUGGAGAGUUUAGUUUUUAUAAGCAAUGACGUUACAAUUAGUUGAAAGAGUUUAACAAACAAUUUUGCUAGAUCAUUUCGUGCAUGAACAUAACUAAUAGGCUGUUCAAUAGUUAUUUCAACUAAUAUACAAUAUUUAUUAAAGGUUUAAAAUGUAAAUUCACCAGUAUCAUCAAGAUGAAU